rnacentral:misc_RNA from 1 species
GGAGGUGCUCGAAGAGGACGACCUCGCAGCCGACGAUGACGGUACCCGCGGGACCCCCGGCGCCGCCGGCGCGGUGGACGAGGGUCUGGAACAGCGGGUGGCCCACGAGCUCCUGCGCGACGAGGUACCGGCGGCGCGACCUGCCGACGUACACCGCGUGCAGGCCCUUGGGCGCCUCGUCCGCGCCGUGGAACGACGCGCCGCGCGCGUUGCCGGAGGUGGCGGCGACGGCGUCGGCGUGAGCCGGUGGCGACGGGGCGCGGGAGACGAUGCGGCUCGACGAGUGCCACCUCCUCUUGACCAUGCACCGGAGUUUGCUCAGCCCGCCCUUAGCCAUGGCUGCUGCCUCUCUCCUUCGGUCGGACUCGGACCUCGGACGGGGGGAGGGCUACCGGCUAACACAGCCGACGCGCGCGGGAU